rnacentral:rRNA from 1 species
UUAAGCAUAUUAAUUAGGGGAGGAAAAGAAACUAACAAGGAUUUUCUUAGUAGCGGCGAGCGAAAAGAAAUCAGUUCAGCACUAAGUCACUUUGUCUAUAUGGCAAAUGUGAGAUGCAGUGUAUGGAGCGUCAAUAUUCUAGUAUGAGAAAUUAACGAUUUAAGUCCUUCUUAAAUGAGGCCAUUUACCCAUAGAGGGUGCCAGGCCCGUAUAACGUUAAUGAUUACUAGAUGAUGUUUCCAAAGAGUCGUGUUGCUUGAUAGUGCAGCACUAAGUGGGUGGUAAACUCCAUCUAAAACUAAAUAUAACCAUGAGACCGAUAGUAAACAAGUACCGUGAGGGAAAGUUGAAAAGAACUCUGAAUAGAGAGUUAAAUAGUACGUGAAACUGCUUAGAGGUUAAGCCCGAUGAACCUGAAUAUCCGUUAUGGAAAAUUCAUCAUUAAAGUUAUAAUAUUUAAACAAUAUUAUACAAAUAAUGUGCAUUUUUUCCAUAUAAGGACAUUGUAAUCUAUUAACAUAUUAAAUUUAUCAUAAAAUAUGGCUUAUAGUUUAUUCAAAUUAUUAUGCUUGCAUUUUAACAUAGAAUAAAUGUCAUUAAUUUGAUAAAGUGUUGAUAGACUAAUAAGAAUACAGUGCGUUAAUUUUUCGGAAUUAUAUAAUGGCAUAAUUAUCAUUGAUUUUUGUGUUUAUUAUAAGCACUUGUAUGAUUAACAAUGCGAAAGAUUCAGGAUACCUUCGGGACCCGUCUUGAAACACGGACCAAGGAGUCUAACAUAUGUGCAAGUUAUUGGGAUAUAAACCUAAUAGCGUAAUUAACUUGACUAAUAAUGGGAUUAGUUUUUUAACUAUUUUAUAGCUAAUUAACACAAUCCCGGGGCGUUCUAUAUAGUUAUGUAUAAUAAUAUUUAUAUUAUUUAUGCCUCUAACUGGAACGUACCUUGAGCAGAUAUGCUGUGACCCGAAAGAUGGUGAACUAUACUUGAUCAGGUUGAAGUCAGGGGAAACCCUGAUGGAAGACCGAAACAGUUCUGACGUGCAAAUCGAUUGUCAGAAUUGAGUAUAGGGGCGAAAGACCAAUCGAACCAUCUAGUAGCUGGUUCCUUCCGAAGUUUCCCUCAGGAUAGCUGGUGCAUUUUAAUGUUAUAUAAAAUAAUCUUAUCUGGUAAAGCGAAUGAUUAGAGGCCUUAGGGUCGAAACGAUCUUAACCUAUUCUCAAACUUUAAAUGGGUAAGAACCUUAACUUUCUUGAUAUGAAGUUUAAGGUUAUGAUAUAUUGUGCCCAGUGGGCCACUUUUGGUAAGCAGAACUGGCGCUGUGGGAUGAACCAAACGUAAUGUUACGGUGCCCAAAUUAACAACUCAUGCAGAAACCAUGAAAGGCGUUGGUUGCUUAAAACAGCAGGACGGUGAUCAUGGAAGUCGAAAUCCGCUAAGGAGUGUGUAACAACUCACCUGCCGAAGCAACUAGCCCUUAAAAUGGAUGGCGCUUAAGUUGUAUACCUAUACAUUACCGCUAAAGUAGAUGAUUUAUAUUACUUGUAAUAUAAAUUUUGAAACUUUAGUGAGUAGGAAGGUACAAUGGUAUGCGUAGAAGUGUUUGGCGUAAGCCUGCAUGGAGCUGCUAUUGGUACAGAUCUUGGUGGUAGUAGCAAAUAAUCGAAUGAGACCUUGGAGGACUGAAGUGGAGAAGGGUUUCGUGUGAACAGUGGUUGAUCACGAGUUAGUCGGUCCUAAGUUCAAGGCGAAAGCCGAAAAUUUUCAAGUAAAAAUAAAAUUUACUAUAUGUAAAAAUUAUAUACUUGAAUAAUUUUGAACGAAAGGGAAUACGGUUCCAAUUCCGUAACCUGUUGAGUAUCCGUUUGUUAUUAAAUAUGGGCCUCGUGCUCAUCCUGGCAACAGGAACGACCAUAAAGAAGCCGUCGAGAGAUAUCGGAAGAGUUUUCUUUUCUGUUUUAUAGUCGUACUACCAUGGAAGUCUUUCGCAGAGAGAUAUGGUAGAUGGGCUAGAAGAGCAUGACAUAUACUGUUGUGUCGAUAUUUUCUCCUCGGACCUUGAAAAUUUAUGGUGGGGAUACGCAAACUUCUCAACAGGCCGUACCAAUAUCCGCAGCUGGUCUCCAAGGUGAAGAGUCUCUAGUCGAUAGAAUAAUGUAGGUAAGGGAAGUCGGCAAAUUAGAUCCGUAACUUCGGGAUAAGGAUUGGCUCUGAAGAUUGAGAUAGUCGGGCUUGAUUGGGAAACAAUAAUAUGGUUUAUGUGCUCGUUCUGGGUAAAUAGAGUUUCGAUCAUUUAUGGUUGUAACUUGUUCCCCGGAUAGUUAGUUACGU